rnacentral:rRNA from 2 species
GACGAACGCUGGCGGCGUGCCUAAUACAUGCAAGUCGAACGAACUCUGGUAUUGAUUGGUGCUUGCAUCAUGAUUUACAUUUGAGUGAGUGGCGAACUGGUGAGUAACACGUGGGAAACCUGCCCAGAAGCGGGGGAUAACACCUGGAAACAGAUGCUAAUACCGCAUAACAACUUGGACCGCAUGGUCCGAGCUUGAAAGAUGGCUUCGGCUAUCACUUUUGGAUGGUCCCGCGGCGUAUUAGCUAGAUGGUGGGGUAACGGCUCACCAUGGCAAUGAUACGUAGCCGACCUGAGAGGGUAAUCGGCCACAUUGGGACUGAGACACGGCCCAAACUCCUACGGGAGGCGGCAGUAGGGAAUCUUCCACAAUGGACGAAAGUCUGAUGGAGCAACGCCGCGUGAGUGAAGAAGGGUUUCGGCUCGUAAAACUCUGUUGUUAAAGAAGAACAUAUCUGAGAGUAACUGUUCAGGUAUUGACGGUAUUUAACCAGAAAGCCACGGCUAACUACGUGCCAGCAGCCGCGGUAAUACGUAGGUGGCAAGCGUUGUCCGGAUUUAUUGGGCGUAAAGCGAGCGCAGGCGGUUUUUUAAGUCUGAUGUGAAAGCCUUCGGCUCAACCGAAGAAGUGCAUCGGAAACUGGGAAACUUGAGUGCAGAAGAGGACAGUGGAACUCCAUGUGUAGCGGUGAAAUGCGUAGAUAUAUGGAAGAACACCAGUGGCGAAGGCGGCUGUCUGGUCUGUAACUGACGCUGAGGCUCGAAAGUAUGGGUAGCAAACAGGAUUAGAUACCCUGGUAGUCCAUACCGUAAACGAUGAAUGCUAAGUGUUGGAGGGUUUCCGCCCUUCAGUGCUGCAGCUAACGCAUUAAGCAUUCCGCCUGGGGAGUACGGCCGCAAGGCUGAAACUCAAAGGAAUUGACGGGGGCCCGCACAAGCGGUGGAGCAUGUGGUUUAAUUCGAAGCUACGCGAAGAACCUUACCAGGUCUUGACAUACUAUGCAAAUCUAAGAGAUUAGACGUUCCCUUCGGGGACAUGGAUACAGGUGGUGCAAGGUUGUCGUCAGCUCGUGUCGUGAGAUGUUGGGUUAAGUCCCGCAACGAGCGCAACCCUUAUUAUCAGUUGCCAGCAUUAAGUUGGGCACUCUGGUGAGACUGCCGGUGACAAACCGGAGGAAGGUGGGGAUGACGUCAAAUCAUCAUGCCCCUUAUGACCUGGGCUACACACGUGCUACAAUGGAUGGUACAACGAGUUGCGAACUCGCGAGAGUAAGCUAAUCUCUUAAAGCCAUUCUCAGUUCGGAUUGUAGGCUGCAACUCGCCUACAUGAAGUCGGAAUCGCUAGUAAUCGCGGAUCAGCAUGCCGCGGUGAAUACGUUCCCGGGCCUUGUACACACCGCCCGUCACACCAUGAGAGUUUGUAACACCCAAAGUCGGUGGGGUAACCUUUUAGGAACCAGCCGCCUAAGGUGGGACAGAUGAUUAGGGUGAAGUCGUAACAAGGUAGCCGUAGGAGAACCUGC